UUGGGUAUUACAGUGAUGU
rnacentral:piRNA from 1 species